AACGAACGCUGGCGGCACGCCUAACACAUGCAAGUCGAGCGAGACCUUCGGGUCUAGUGGCGCACGGGUGCGUAACGCGUGGGAACCUGCCCUUAGGUUCGGAAUAACUCCCCGAAAGGGGUGCUAAUACCGGAUAAUGUCUUCGGACCAAAGAUUUAUCGCCUUUGGAUGGGCCCGCGUUGGAUUAGCUAGUUGGUAGGGUAAAAGCCUACCAAGGCGACGAUCCAUAGCUGGUCUGAGAGGAUGAUCAGCCACACUGGGACUGAGACACGGCCCAGACUCCUACGGGAGGCAGCAGUGGGGAAUAUUGGACAAUGGGCGAAAGCCUGAUCCAGCAAUGCCGCGUGAGUGAUGAAGGCCUUAGGGUUGUAAAGCUCUUUUACCCGGGAUGAUAAUGACAGUACCGGGAGAAUAAGCUCCGGCUAACUCCGUG
rnacentral:rRNA from 1 species